rnacentral:tRNA from 1 species
GUCCCAGUAGCGCAAUGGAUAGCGCGUUGGACUUCUAAUCCAAAGGUCAUGGGUUCGAAUGUCUCCUGGGAUG